rnacentral:rRNA from 1 species
AGAGUUUGAUCCUGGCUCAGAUUGAACGCUGGCGGCAUGCCUUACACAUGCAAGUCGAACGGCAGCACGGGAAGGGGCAACCCUUCCUGGUGGCGAGUGGCGAACGGGUGAGUAAUGCAUCGGAACGUGUCCUCUUGUGGGGGAUAACCAGUCGAAAGACUGGCUAAUACCGCAUGAGCCCGAGAGGGGAAAGCGGGGGAUUCGAAAGAACCUCGCGCGAGUGGAGCGGCCGAUGGCCGAUUAGCUAGUUGGCGGGAUAAAAGCCCACCAAGGCGACGAUCGGUAGCUGGUCUGAGAGGAUGAUCAGCCACACUGGGACUGAGACACGGCCCAGACUCCUACGGGAGGCAGCAGUGGGGAAUUUUGGACAAUGGGCGCAAGCCUGAUCCAGCCAUGCCGCGUGUGUGAAGAAGGCCUUCGGGUUGUAAAGCACUUUCGGACGGAACGAAAUCGCACGGGCGAAUACCCCGUGUGGAUGACGGUACCGUAAGAAGAAGCACCGGCUAACUACGUGCCAGCAGCCGCGGUAAUACGUAGGGUGCGAGCGUUAAUCGGAAUUACUGGGCGUAAAGCGUGCGCAGGCGGUCGCGCAAGUCAGGUGUGAAAGCCCCGGGCUUAACUUGGGAAUUGCAUUUGAAACUACGUGACUGGAGUGUGGCAGAGGGAGGUGGAAUUCCACGUGUAGCGGUGAAAUGCGUAGAGAUGUGGAGGAACACCGAUGGCGAAGGCAGCCUCCUGGGCCAACACUGACGCUCAUGCACGAAAGCGUGGGGAGCAAACAGGAUUAGAUACCCUAGUAGUCC